GUGCUUGUUUCAGCAGCAUAUAUAUUAAAAUUGGAGUGAUACAGAAAAGAUUACCAUGACCUUGUGCAAGGUUGACAUACAAAUUCACAAAAUGUUUUCUAGUUAA